ACCCCACUCCUUCCCCUUGGCCCCUCCCACCCUCCCCCUCUAUGGGGCUGCCCCAUAAGUGACCUCCGGUGUAGGGGGGGGCGUCCGGCGCGUCCGUGGGGUGCCCCAUAAGUGAACUUGGGGGUCACUGAGGUCCAUAGGGUGCCCCAUAAGUGAGCUUGGGGGUCAUUGAAGUCCAUAGGGUGCCCCAUAAGUGAGCUUGGGGGUCAUUGA